GCUUACGGCCAUACCACCCUGAACACGCCCGAUCUCGUCGGAAGCUAAGCAGGGUCGGGCCUGGUUAGUACUUGGAUGGGAGACCGCCUGGGAAUACCAGGUGCUGUAAGCU
ensembl:rRNA 5S_rRNA 5S ribosomal RNA